AACGAACGCUGGCGGCAGGCCUAACACAUGCAAGUCGAGCGAAGCCUUCGGGCUUAGCGGCGGACGGGCGAGUAACGCGUGGGAACGUGCCCUUUGGUACGGAAUAGCCCCGGGAAACUGGGAGUAAUACCGUAUGUGGUCGAGAGACGAAAGAUUUAUCGCCAAAGGAUCGGACCGCGUUGGAUUAGGUAGUUGGUGGGGUAAUGGCCUACCAAGCCGACGAUCCAUAGCUGGUUUGAGAGGAUGAUCAGCCACACUGGGACUGAGACACGGCCCAGACUCCUACGGGAGGCAGCAGUGGGGAAUCUUAGACAAUGGGGGAAACCCUGAUCUAGCCAUGCCGCGUGAUCGAUGAAGGCCUUAGGGUUGUAAAGAUCUUUCAGUGGGGAAGAUAAUGACUGUACCCACAGAAGAAGCCCCGGCUAACUCCGUGCCAGCCGCCGCCGUAAGAC
rnacentral:rRNA from 1 species